UGUUAGUUAGUUUAAAUAAAAUGAAUGAUUUCGACUCAUUAGAUUAUGGUUAUACCCAUAACUAUCAC
ensembl:Mt_tRNA